CCUUGGAUCAUUUUUUCUAAAUUAUUGUAGAAGAAUCCAAAAGAAUCCUGCAGGUAUUAGCAUUCGUGAGAUUAUCAAUAAUGACUGAUAAAUGAUGCCUCAACCACGUUGAAGUAUCCUUAAAACAUACUUUUUGCAAAGUAGAGUGUAUCUCAAUCAUUAGAACAUCAAAAAGUAAAUCAUCUUUGUGACUGAAAUUUCCAUAAGUGUGCAGGCUUAAGCACAGUUCUUGGUAUCCAGUGAGUUCUUGAAUAAGAAUUGCUCAUACAAUGGUAAAAUUUAUCUUCUGGUGUUUUUCAAAUCUACUACUAAUUUGUUCGCAGUUUCCACUCAAAAAUAAUUUUUUAUCUUAAUAUAUUUAGUUUAGUUGGUUCGCAUCCCUCUCCACAUGGGAGAGGUUCAAGAUUCAAAUCUUGGUUGGCGGGAUCCCACUGCAUUUCAUCUCUUCAGAGACAUCUGAUAAAAUUGGAACAAUGCAGAGAAGAUUAGCAUGGCCCCUAAGAAAGGAUGACAUGCAAAAAUCCAGGCGUCUCACCACAUUUCUGAAAAAAAGAAAGGAAGAAGGGAAGAGAGAGGGGGAGAGAGAGAGAGAGAGAGAAUGAGAAGGAGAGAGAUUCUGAUCUUGUCUUCCAUUGUCCUGAGUUAAAAAUAGUUUUGAUUAUAAUGGUGUCUUUCUUCAUUUAACUACAUUCUCUCUUCAGAUUGUAACGUUUUCUCUUUGCUGCACAGAGAUCCUCAGAACAUAGUGGCAUAGAAGGUCAGAGGUCUGUCAGAGACAUCUUAUGGAUCCUAUUCAUGGGGAUUCAAGAAGCAAGCAUACAUACGAUGAACAAAGGCAUCCUGGUCUGGGAAACAAACCAGAAAUAAAGAAAGUAACUCCUAGCUCAUCUUCUGAUGGGGAAUCAUUUGAAGAAGGUUUCUUCCAACUAGAUGCAGCUGAACUCGACAAAUCAUUUCUGCAAAUCACUGAGAUUGCCAGUGAUAAAUUAGCCUCACAAUCCAAGACUCAAAAUGGCAAAGUUAAUGAUACCAAUGAUGUUGGGAUGAGUGAUAACUUGGACAUGUUUGGACGAAAUCAUUCUCCCCCACUUCAGGUGAUGGGGAGGUCAGAUGUCCCCGACCCAAAUAUAGUUCCAUCUUCCAUGUUCACAAGGACUACGUCCUCAGCAAUAGACGGGAGCGUGGUUUCAAAUGAAUCUUUGUUCAGCAUCCAAAUGGGGAAUUCUAGCUUCUCUAGGGACCAUGUUUUCUUGACAGGCAGGUCCAGAGAUCUGACCAACUUCCCCAUGGACCCGCCAAGUGCAGCAGAGGCAGCAAAUGCUGCAGCCAUGCAGGGUGUCUUGAGGGUAAAUGCAGAGAAAGUUGGUGGUAAAGACAAGCAUCCAGCUGGGGAUAUGCAUCAUUCUGCUAGCAUAUCUAACCUCUUCGACAGCAGAAUGGCUAGUUUCCAAUCUUUUACAUUUGCAGAGUAUGCUCUCUUCUGCCUUCUUUAUAGACAAGAUUUUCAAUGACCAUCUUGCUGCCUUUUGCUAGCAAAAUUCACAAAUUCAAAAGCAGAUAAAAACAUAAGGGAAAGUAAAUUAGGCUACAAAUGUGGUAACAUGAUACUGAUUUUUUAAGUUUGAAAGUUUGAAAGAUAGGAAAUGUGUCAUUAGUGGAAGGAUUAUCAUUGUGGUCAAUGGUGUAAUGUUUAAAUUGACAGAUGGAAGAAGUGGAUCAGUUAAGGUAGGACCUGUGAACCAACCGCGGCACUGGGAGCAGGCACAGCAGCGUCCACCACAAACCAAGACCACAAAAGCAACUCCUGCUGCCAAGUGUUUUCCAUGCUUUUCUUGUUCAUUCUGUUCUUGAGGGAGUGUUUCUGAUCAACAAUAUCGUGAGGGAUACUCUGCCACUCACUAAGGAGAUGAAGUUUCUGUGGUUUGGAGUCUGGACAGAAAAGUAUACAUGAUUACAGAGGAACAGGAGAAGGCAUGCAUUUCUUUUAGUGGUUGAGAAGAACUGCAUCCAAUAUAGUCUUGUUUUCAGUAUUGUAAUGCUAAUGUUAGGCUCAGGUACUCAUCUCUAGGGUCUAAUGUUUUCUUUUCAGAGAAAGUUACAGAUUUAAGUCCUGCAUUUGCUUUUGAUAUCAUUACAACUUGAAAAGUACAUUUGUUUCUGAGGACUAACAUUGUCUGAGAUAAAGCAAGGUAACAAAGCAUUUGUUGGAUCAA